GUUGGCUUGGAAGCAGCCAUUCAUUUAAAGAGUGCGUAACAGCUCACUAGUCGAGCGGUUCGGCAUGGAUAAUAAUCGGGCAUAAGCAUAUUACCGAAGCUAUGGCAACGAAAGUUGGGUAGGGGAGCAUUCUAUCGGCGCAGAAGCAUCACUGUGAGGUGAUGUGGAGCUUAUAGAAAAGAAAAUGUAGGCAUAAGUAACGAUAAAGCAGGCGAGAAACCUGCUCACCGAAAGACUAAGGGUUCCUCAGCCAUGCUAAUCAGCUGAGGGUUAGUCGGGACCUAACGCGAACCCGAGAGGGGAAGUGGAUGGACAAUGGGUUAAUAUUCCCAUACUUGCUCACGAAUAAAGGGGACGGUUCAGCUAGACUACUGGAGACUGACGGAAUAGUCAAGACCUAGCCUACGGGCGAAGUUGUUGUAGAGUAACUGGAUCCAAGAAAAGCCGAAGUGAAGCAACCCGUACCAUAAACCGACACAGGUAGUCGAGGAGAGAAUCCUAAGGUGCUCGAGUGAGUCGUGGCUAAGGAACUAGGCAAAAUAGUCUCGUAACUUCGGAAUAAGAGACGCCAACAGCGAUGUUGGCCGCAGUGAAGAGGCCCAGGCGACUGUUUAUCAAAAACACAGGACUCUGCUAAAUCGAAAGAUGCUGUAUAGGGUCUGACACCUGCCCGGUGCUGGAAGGUUAAGGAAGGUGCUUAGCGUAAGCGAAGGCAUUGACUGAAGCCCCAGUAAACGGCGGCCGUAACUAUAACGGUCCUAAGGUAGCGAAAUUCCUUGUCGGGUAAGUUCCGACCUGCACGAAUGGUGUAACGAUCUGGGCACUGUCUCAGCCACGAGCUCGGUGAAAUUGUAGUAUCGGUGAAGAUGCCGAUUACCCGCAAUGGGACGAAAAGACCCUGUGAACCUUUACUAUAACUUCGUAUUGACUUUGAGUAAGUAAUGUGUAGGAUAGGUGGGAGGCUGUGAAGCUGGCACGCUAGUGUUGGUGGAGCCGUUGUUGAAAUACCACCCUUUGCUUACUUGGAGCCUAACUUCUGAAAAAGAGUAAGAAGGACAUUGCGUGGUGGGUAGUUUGACUGGGGUGGUCGCCUCCAAAAGAGUAACGGAGGCUUUCAAAGGUACCCUCAGCACGCUUGGUAACCGUGCGUAGAGUGUAAUGGCAUAAGGGUGCUUGACUGUGAGACCAACAAGUCGAUCAGGUGCUUGUACUUGAGCGUGUCGGCAUCGAGGCAGAGGGUCUCGAGGGCGUGGUGCAUGGUGAUGAGAGCCAGCGACGCCGGGCACUCGUAGCACUCGUGGCUCUUGAGACCCACGACGCGAUCCUCGAUCAUGUCGAGGCGACCAUAGCCGUGCUUGCCGCAGAUCUCGUUCAUCUUGAUGAUGAGCGGCAGCAGGUCCAUCUGCUCGCCGUUCAGCGAGACGGGCUUGCCCUGCUCGAAGCCGAGCACGAUCUCCUCGGGCGUGUCGGGGGCGUCCUCUGCGGAGGCGGUCAUCGUCCAGAUGUCCGCAGGCGGCUCCAUCCAGGGAUCCUCAAGGACACCGCACUCGAUGGCACGGCCCCAGAGGUUAUCGUCGAUGGAGUAGGGCUUCGCCGCAGUGGUGGGGACGGGCACGCCGUGGGCCUUGGCCCACUCCA
rnacentral:rRNA from 1 species